AGGGGAGACAGAAGACAGCCUAUUACUAUCAUAUGACUAAGCUCACUUGUUGUCCGUGAGGACGCCUGUGUCUCCUGAGAGCUUCAUUAGCAAGCAGUAAAGGAAGGAAAAGCUAAAGCUUUCGUGUGUCUGUGUGUGUGUGUGUGUGUGUGUGUGUGUGUGUGUGUGUGUGUGCCAGAAGAUUGCCAUUUUGCCUACCUAGGCUGGCUGGCUGGCUGGCUAGUUAGCUCUGGGGAUUCCAGGUCUCCAUUCACCUAAUGCUGGGGUCAUAGGCACACAAGGACAUGCUCUACGGACACAUAAGGACAUGCUCUACAGGCACACAAAGACAUGCUCUACAAGCACACAAGGACAUGCUCUACAGACACACAAGGACACGCUCUACAGGCACACAAGGACAUUCUCUACAGACACACAAGGACAUUCUCUACAGACACACAAGGACAUGCUCUACAGGCACACAAGGACACGCUCUACAGGCACACAAGGACAUUCUCUACAGGCACACAAGGACACGCUCUACAGGCACACAAGGACAUUCUCUACAGACACACAAGGACAUGGUCUACAGGCACACAAGGACACGCUCUACAGACACACAAGGACAUGCUCUACAGGCACACAAGGACAUUCUCUACAGGCACACAAGGACAUGCUCUACAGGCACACAAGGACACGCUCUAUUUUGAAAUGGGUGAUGAGGAUUCAAAUUCAGGUGUCCAUGCUUUACCCACGGAGACAUCUCCUUAACCCAACCUAUUCCUUUAAAAUGUCAAAAUGUUUCCUCUCCCAGAAGGCAGAUUUCAAAAACAACUCUUCAAAGGCUGGAGGAAAUUUUGAUUUGUAAGACAUGAUACUUUGUUGAUUUUAUAAAAUGGUUCCUUUAUUGACCGUUGAGAAGAAUAUUACUCUUCGUGCCUAUGAGGAAAGGGGACCUAUUCUGCCAGGAACCUCUUUAAUCUUAUAAAUGCCUAUGUGAUUUAACAAUAUAGUCAGACUAUUUGUCGGUAAGAGAAAUUUUAUUAAUGAAUUAUACCACUGUGUACCAGUGCUUUUAAGCCCUAAUGAGUGCCUGACACGAAUGAAUAUCACAAACAUAAAAUAAAUAUUUGUCAAGUUAAUAAAUGAAAUAAUGUUCCGAAAACAUCAUCUAGACUCCCCCACCCCCCCAUCUGUCGAGGACUCUGCAAUUGGUUAUGCGGCCAGGCGCCACCUGCUCUCCCAGCAAGGCUCUUUUAAUAAAAAGGGCGAGCAUUGAUUUACAGCCCUUCGGAUCUGUUUGCUUCCAGGAUUGCUCAGUAUUACGGGUCUUCCUGAGUCAAGACGAUUCAGAAGCAAUGCUGAGGGCAGCAAACCUGUAUUUGUCAAAUGGCUGUGUGGCUGAGAAGUCCCCCCAAACCAAUCAACAUUCACAUAAUGAGCUUGGUUACCGAGUUUCGAGUUAUAAUGAAGAGCAGCCAGAGUCUGAAGCCCUAAAGCGUGUGCGUGUGUGUGUGUGUGUGUGUGUGUGUGUGUGUGUGUGUGUGUGUGUGUGUGUGGUUUCUGAAGCACACGAUAAGAAAGUACAGGCUUCAAAGAAGCUAAAUGGUUUAUGUUCUCUUCCUGCUCAUUAAGAAUUGCUCUCAUUUCUCCUAUAUGUCUCUCUUCCCCCUCCCCCUCUCUCUUUUUCUUCUUCUUCUUCAGAUCAUGAGGAUGCAAUUAAAAUCCCUGUGCCUGGUGGGUUCUGCCAGAGAGAUAAACAGUACCUGACCCCAUGUGAUUUGCCACAUGAAUAGAGAUCAGGAUUUCAUCUGAGAGCAACUCGAUUUUACAUGGUUGCUAAGGAGACUAUUGGCAUCUCUGUGUCCUGGGUGCCCUGUUGCCUGGAAAGAAUUACAGCGGCUUUGCCUGUUACUCUCCCAGAGAGAAAAACCUGAAAACUCAUUAGGGAAGCCAACGGUUUGAGAUUCCUCCACUGGUCUCUUUAUCGCUUCGAGCGCUGCUGGCCUUGGAGUGGAACUUGUGGGCAUAUUGACGUCCAAAUGGGUAUGCUCUCAAGAGUUUGUUAGAGAAAGGAAAAACAUAGGGACCAAGCUCUGAGGACCCAAUUCUCUGACCUGGAGUUUGGCACAGGCUUGUUGUGUGAUUCUGUUCUCUUUGUUUUGUUCAGAGAACUCUGCCUCCUGACAUCAGAAUGCAGACCAAGCUGCAGUCUUGUUUCUAACAGCGUCAUCAGUAAUGCCCCAGUGUCACAUUAAGGAAAAUAAAUUUAAAAGCACUUCUUCUUGGUAUCAUUAACCAAGGUAAUCCCAGAUUUGAAUUCCCUACUUCUGCCCCUCUGUGUCUUCCGGUACCCCUUUCUGUCUGUUGUAUGAGUCUAAAUCUGUGACUACUUGAAUGUGUCUUGUGAAUCUGUCCCUGUGUCUGUCUCUCUGUGUCCAUGUGUCUCUCUAACAAAAGGCUUUGCCCUCUCUUUCAUCGAACAGCACAGAAGUGUUACACCAGGAAGGAAUGAGAAACACUUUACAGGAAUCUUGAAUAGUUUUACAAGGGAUGAAGUCAUUGUCUCCAACUGACCUCAACUGACCCAGAAAACUAACAAUUUAAUGCUUUCAAGCAAUAUCUAUAGGUUGCAUUCAACAUUUAUAAAGAGUAUUCCUUUUUUCUUUCUUUCUUUCUUUGCAGUAGGGUUUCUCUGUAUGUCCCCGGCUAUCUUGGAACCUGCUCUGUAGACCAGGGCAGCUUUUAACUCAAAGAUCUGCCUGCUUUUGCCUCCUGUGUGCUGUGAUUAAAGGUGUGCGCCAUCAUUCCUUGCUAGAGAAUAUUCCUUUUUUAAGGUUGCUGCUGUCCUAUUUCCUGAUUUCAGCAAAUGAUUAUCAAAACAUACAAACAUUACUCAUAAGUCAGGAGCAUAGAAAAGUACAGGACUCGAAAAUACUGCUGUGCCUUGUAAGAGGCUCCCAGACCUUAGCACAGCUGAAGCCAUGAUGGAAGGGCCAUUCAGAACACAAAGUUCAGCAUGUAGACAGCAUGACCUUUCCAAGAGUGUUCUUUCCAAAACAAGAACAAAGCCUUAAUUCAUCAAAGGCCAUAGUUCCGGGACAGUCUCUAAAUGUACUAACCUUGCUUUCUGGCUUCUGUGGUCCCCCUUCUGGGUAACUGUUCUUGUUAACCGAAGUAUGUCAGACUAGGAUAUGGUCUUUGUGCUCGAAAGUUCACCAUGAGAAAGGCUUUAGGCUCCCCAACUAGGAUCCCUAACACAGUGUAGUCACUGGCUAGCUUAUAAGGACUUUCUAUUGGCUUACACCUAUGUGUGAUUCGUCUUUUGGGGUAGAUAUCCCUCAAUGUGCAUUAGUUUAGGUUAUAAAGUUGGUUACAUGGGGAAAUCAUGGGUUGUUAAUUGUUUUGAUAAAGGCAAGUUAAACCUAGUUAAAGAGCGCUAGGCUAGCAAUCUUAAGUGACCUUAAAGUAUUAUUAACUCUGGCUGUGAGGUUCAGCAAAAGUUCCAGUCUCUCUGAAUGCAAGAGACACUUUCAUAAUCAUGCAUCUCCAUAUCUAACAAGCUGGAUAGCCCUGGGCAAACAUGCUCUCUAAACCUUGGUUUUCUUAUGCUGGAAGCAGAAAGCAAGCCCUGCCAUGUGUGAAGAUUAAAGAGGCUAAUGGAAGCAGCUGUCGGGAGCAUCUUGACAAUUGCCAGGUGGGGCUCAGCAUUGUUUGCCGUAUGGCUACUCCAGGGGACAGAUGGUAAGGAAACUAGCAACCUGUACACUUGUUAAAGGGUCCCCGAGGAUCAGCCCUCAUUCCAGGAGACAGAGAAGGAAGGCGGACGAAUACGGGGAGAGAUGGAGCUGGGAGUGGAUACAAGAGUCUUCACCACUCCUGGUGAACUCUGAAGUCAGAAUGCCUCUUGAGUGAGACUUUUCUCUCUCUGACUGACUCUGAUGUCCAACUAACCCCAUCAUUCAUUUAUUGGGGUUCUAUACACUCCAGUAGAAUGUCUUUGGAGAUGAGACUUUGGGAAGUAGAUUUAGAUGCAGUCAUGAGGGUAAGGCCAUGAUGAGAUUCUUGUUCUUGCAAGGAGUGGAAGGAUCCUUGCUUUGGGUCUUUCUUUCCUAAGGUGACACACUGUGGAGGCAGCUAUCUGCAAGCGAGGAAGAGGACCACACUAAGAGUCUCACUGUGAGCUUCAGUGUGGCUCAGUGGUAAAGAGCACCACUGGCUACUCUUCCAGAGGACUUGGGUUUUGUUCUCGGCACCCACAUAGUGGCUUACAAACAUCUGAAGUUCCAGUUCCAGAGGAGUCAUCACCCUCUUCUGGCCUCUGUGGGCAUGGCACACACAUGAUGACAGACAUAUGAGAAACGGAAACACUCAUAUAUAGACAUCUCAUCUAAGAUACAACAACCCCUCAACAACAGGUGCACAUUCUUCUAGGAAGGGGAAUGAACUUUGUCUCAGAAAAGAAUGAUAAACUGAAGGUAAUCGGUGGGACACAUUACAUGUAGGGUAGACCAGCAACCUCCCUAGCCAAAACAAAACAAAACAAAACCCUCCAUCUUAUGCAACAUGCUCUCAUUGACUUCUUUCAUCAUUCUUCCCUCUUUGCACAAAACCACUGAAGUUUUCUCCUUCCCUCCCUCUCCCCAUCUCUCUCCCUUUCCAAGAGUGUACACACACUCAGUGUGUGUGUGUGUGUGCACAUGCAUGCGUGUGUGUACGUGUGCUUGCGCGUGCAUGUGUAUAUGCAUGCAUGCAUGUAUGCAUUGUGUGCACAUGUGUGCGUGUGCUUGCGUGUGCAUGUGUAUGUGCAUGUGUGCAUGUAUGCGUGUGUGUGUGUGCGUGUGUGUGUGUGUGUGUGUGUGUGUGUGUGUGUGUGUGUACAGAUGCAUAGGAAGCCAGAGGUUGAUGUUAGGAUGUCUUCCUCAAUAACUUCUCCAUCUUAGUUUUUGAGACAAAGACUCUUACUGAACCUUUUUGGUCUGAGCUGCUCAGCUAACAAGCUCCUGGGAUCCAGCUAUCUCUGUACUAGCCUGUGCCCCUCUGCCUGUUUCUGGGGUCAUAGAUCCAUGUCUCCAUGGCGGGCUUUAUGUGGUUGCUAGGAAUCUGAACUCAGGUCCUACUGAGCCAUCUCUCCAACCUCAAACAAUACUUCUUAACUCUCUUUUCACUUGCAAGACACACGGAACUGCAGUUCACAAGGAUUAGCCUUGGUGCCCUUUGGACCAGGGAGUUCCCAGGGAGGUGGUGAACGGUGAGGUAACGGGCUACUUACUCCUUCCUUAAGGGCAUCCCUUCCAAGGGAGAAGUGAUCUCUUUCAAGUCCUCCGAAGUCCUCACUGUUCCCCUUAAGUAGCAAAAUCAUGUUUAAGGAGAGGAGCACCAUGGUAAGGUGUGUGCAUUUUACAAACAUAUUGUACAGUUAAAGGGGAUUAGAUGGCCAAGGCUAGAAACAGGGAGACAAUCGAAGGAUUGCCAGUUAAACAUGGCAGACAUAUUUCAUAUUUACUUGCCCUUCUUCCAAAUCCCCACUGGGAGGAUUUCACAUACAGAGAACAUUAGAGGAAACAGCAUGGGCAGAAAGCGCCCAGUGCCAUUUUUAAAGCUGGCAAUAGAAGAGGGUCAGCUUGGCUGUGAGGUGGGGCGCAUGUGCAGAAUGCUCAGAGCUUUGGUGUCUGACUGAGUCUUGUCUAUGGGUCUGAGACCAGGCUAGGCAUUACAGUUUGAACACAAGAUUGUCCUCAACAGGCGUCUACGCUGAAGCUUUACUCCCCGAUUCUCGAAACGGCUGUGGGAGGUGGCGGAAGAGUCAGGGACAGAGAAGAAGAAGUAGGUCGCUGAUGUCAUGCCUUGGCAAUUGCAUCGGAAACUCCAGAGUCUGCUUCCAUUGCCUCUGGUUUCUUUCUGUGGUUGUCUUUCUUUUGGAACAUAAGCUCGCAGUAUUGCCUGGGGUAUUAUCUGAGUUUUCUCUUCGCCGUUUUGGGAUACCUGACAUAACCUGUUUAGAGGGCUUGUUUAUCUCGGUUCACAGUUUCCAAACUCUCGACCUCAGCAUCUCUGGCUUCACAGACUCUAGACCCAUGAUGGAGCCAUAUCCCAUGGCAGCAAAAGUUUCAGUGCAUUCAUUUCAGAAGCAUUCAUCACUUGGAGAUGUCUUCAACUGGAAGUAAUACAACAAGCAGAGGCUUCUUGUAUUGUAUUGUAUUCUUGUACUGUCUUGCUUUUGGUCGCAGUAGAACGUGAUUGCUGGCCUUGGUUCAGAUGUGCAUAAGACUGUUUUCCUUGUCUUUACUGUCCAUGCUGCACAUUAGUGCAGUGAUUCUCAACCUGUGGGUCUCGACCCCAUUGCAGGUCAAACAGCCCUUUCACAAGGGUUGCAUAUCAGGUAACAGUAGCAAAAAUAUAGUUAUGAAAUAACAAUGAAAUAAUGUUCUGGUUGGGGUUCAGCACAACACAAGGAACUAUAUUAAACAGUAGGAUGUAGAAAGGUUGAGAACCACUGCAUUAGUGACUUCUGUUUGUCUUUUUUUUUUUUUUUUUUUGGUUCUUUUUUUCGGAGCUGGGGACCGAACCCAGGGCCUUGUGCUUCCUAGGUAAGUGCUCUACCACUGAGCUAAAUCCCCAGCCCCGACUUCUGUUUGUCUUAUGGUCACAAGUGGGUCUCUGUGUCAUAUAUUAUAUCUGCAUUAGAAAUGUAAUAAUUAAAAUGGAAUGCCUGUGGCAGCCUUCCUUUUUGAGGCAGGGUCUCAUGUAUUCUAAGCAGCCAGCACGCCCUUCUGAUUCUCAUGUCUCUCUCUCCUUCCUGAGAACUGGGAUUUCAAGUGCAGUACAGUGUCCAGUUUAUGCUGGAGAUCAAACCCAUCCCUGAGCGCGCCAGGUGAGUGCUCUACCAACUGGGCUGCGUCCCAACGCGCACAGCUUACAUUCCUACUGGAGAAUUAAGGUGGGUCCGCCAGGCUUCUGUUUACAACUCAGGGAACAGGAGUAGUUACGUGAUCUCUUGUGACUGCGACAUCAGAGACAGUACCUGAGGCUGAGCACCUGACUAUUUGAAACAAUAACCAAUGCUCAGUGAACACAGAACAAGGGAGAAGUGGAUGUAUGGGUGUCUGACAGUGGUAGCCACAGUGACCCCCAGAAGGUAAGUGACUUGCUAGAAAGACAUUGCAGAAGAAGGCAGGUGCAGAGGGGAGCAGGCUGGGAUCUCUUGCAAUUGUGUGUGCGUUUUCAUGUUUGUGGAGUAUGUGAGUACAUGAGUUAACAUGUACGUGGAAGCCAGACAGCCUUAUUGCUGUCCAUUCUACCACUCUCAUUGAACCUGGAAUUUUCCAAGUAAGAUAUAGGCUGGAUGGUCAGUGAGCUUCAGGAUUUACCUGUCUUUGCCUUUAUAAGCACACAACACCUUUCCUAUUUUAGUUGUUGUUGUUCUGGGUUUUUUUUAGAUUUAUUUAUUUUAUUUAUAUGAGUAAAACGUUGCUGUCUUCAGACACACCAGAAGAGGGCAUCAGAUCCCAUUACAGAUGAUUGUGAGUCACCAUGUGGUUACUGAGAAUUGAACUCAGGACCUCUGGAAGAGCAGUCAAGCGCUCUUAACCACUGAGCCAUCUCUGGAGCUAGCCCACCACUACCUCUAUUUUUGUUUUUUAACAUGGACUCUGGAAACUAAAUUCUGGUCCUUAUUCUUUCAAAGUGCACAGUUUACCAACAGAGCCAGACCCACAGGUCUGCAAUUGAAGCAAAAACAAACAAACAAACAAACAAACAAACAAAACCAAAAAAUUCCUGACCUCAAACUCCCUAUGACUACACAGGUAACUGACUACCUGUCUCCUAAUGCACUCUGCCAGCCCAGUCUUGUCUCCUCACUCUCUUUAUGGAGGAGAAGCUCUUCAUCUGGGAUGGCAAACUUCACAAAAGACAGGAAUAAACGGGGUUGUAUAUGGAAUAGUGGUACCCCAGGUAGAUUGCUUGGUUCCCAGCAUGCUGGUAGUCAUAUACGCCAUCCAGAAGGAGACUAAAGGGUCUCUAUCUAGAGAAAGGGAAUAUCCAAGUGACUCCUGUUGGUCACUAUCAUUUUUAUGGUUAAGGUUAAUGGGGUGAAAUUACUCGGCCAAAGGCUUAAGUUUUGACCAAGCCAAGUCAGGGCCUGGUUUACAGUUAGCAAUUCCUCUAACACUUGGUAUGGUUACUCUUAACAUUUUGAAGUAUUCCUAUAGGUGUUUUUGUCUGUCUGUCAUUUGUUGUGACAGGAUCUUGCUAUAUAGCCCAAGAUAGCCUCAAAUUCCUGAUUUUUCUGUCCCAAGACUCUUGAACACUGGAAUUACAGAUAUGCCACCACUCCUAGCAUAUACUGACUGUCCUAGUGACUAAUAUAAUAUUGCUAAGUAUAGUUCCAGGCACUUAUUCACCACCUUGUUUUGUGAAGCACUUGCUUAAGUAUUUUGCCUUUUUGUUUGUUUGUUUGUUUGAGUGUCUUGUAUAGAGUUUCAGUGUUCUUGAUAUAUUCUAGAUACAAAUCCUCAUAAAAUUUGGAUCCUAAAAAUAUUGGGGCUGGGGAUUUAGCUCAGUGGUAGAGCGCUUACCUAGGAAGCGCAAGGCCCUGGGUUCGGUCCCCAGCUCCGAAAAAAAGAACCAAAAAAAAAAAAAAAUUAUUUCAUCUGCAGCUUCCUUAUCAUUUUCUUUCCAGUGUUGUUUGAGAACUAAAAGGCUUUGGCCCAGCGAGAUGGCAUUUGCUGCCACGCUUGAUGACUGAGUUGGAAUCCAGUAAGUUCCCAGGAGUCUCCCUCCUGCGAGACUCCGUUCCUGAACAUUGGUAUCUCCACACACAAACGGAGACAGGAGACAACAGACCAUUGCUUUCAACAUUCUGUAGACAGAGCUUCCAACCCGGAGAUCUUGCCCCAGCCCAAUUAUCAACAAUUUGGUGAUAAAAAAUCUGUUUCAGCAUCAUAAAGUCCUCAGAAUCAACCUCAUAUGCACACUUCCUCGGGAAGGUUUUGGGGAAUUUACUCCAAAAUUGGCUAGUAACAAACAGGUAAGUGGAAAACGGGAGAUUAGGGAUCAGGGGUUCCUCCCCCAACAAACCAAGGAAAGGACGGCCAAAAAUCAUAGCAUUGGCGGCUGAAGAGAAUGAGUUAUUUGGGGUCAGGGUUCUAAGCAGCUCGGGAGAAGGAGGAGCUUCAGCCCGACUUCUGCUCCUGUUUUAUGCAGACCCCACACCUGCUUCCCCAGCCUCUACCGAGCCCCAAUUUACCAGGUUCUCCCUCUCCAGUCUUUGCUGCGGGGGUCACAUUGCUCUGCCACAGCAGGGCCCAUUGAAGGCAAUGUGCUUCCCAUGUGGACACUCAAAUCUUAGAGAGAGAGAGAGAGAGAGAGAGAGAGAGAGAGAGAGAGAGAGAGAGAGAGAGAGGAGAGAGAGAGA